rnacentral:rRNA from 1 species
AUUGAACGCUGGCGGCAGGCUUAACACAUGCAAGUCGAGCGAGCGGCGGACGGGUGAGUAAUGUCUGGGAAACUGCCUGAUGGAGGGGGAUAACUACUGGAACCGGUAGCUAAUACCGCAUACCAUCAGAUGUGCCCAGAUGGGCUUAGCUAGUAGGUGGGGUAAUGGAUCACCACGGCGACGAUCCCUAGCUGGUCUGCGAGGAUGACCGGCCAAACUGGAACGGAGACACGGGCCAGACGCCUACGGGAGGCAGCAGGGGGGAAUAGUGCACAAUGGGCGCAAGCCUGAUGCAGCCAUGCCGCGUGUAUGAAGAAGGCCUUCGGGUUGUAAAGUACUUGCAGCGGGGAGGCGUUACCCGCAGAAGAAGCACCGGCUAACUACGGGCCAGCAGCCGCGGUAAUAC